GGCUCAGGACGAACGCUGGCGGCGUGCCUAACACAUGCAAGUCGAACGGGGUUAAGUCUUCGGAUUUAACUUAGUGGCGAACGGGUGAGUAACGCGUGAGAAACCUGCCUUUCAGUGGGGGACAACAGUUGGAAACGACUGCUAAUACCGCAUAACACUUUAGUACCGCAUGGUACAGAAGUCAAAGCUUUAUGCGCUCAGGGAGGGGCUCGCGUCCUAUUAGUUAGUUGGCGGGGUAACGGCCCACCAAGGCGAUGACGGGUAGCCGGUCUGAGAGGAUGUCCGGCCACACUGGAACUGAGACACGGUCCAGACACCUACGGGUGGCAGCAGUCGAGAAUCAUUCACAAUGGGCGAAAGCCUGAUGGUGCGACGCCGCGUGGGGGAGGAAGGUCUUCGGAUUGUAAACCCCUGUCAUGUGGGAGCAAGACUUCGGUUUGAUAGUACCACAAGAGGAAGAGACGGCAAACUCUGUG
rnacentral:rRNA from 1 species